rnacentral:rRNA from 1 species
GACGAACGCUGGCGGCGUGCUUAACACAUGCAAGUCGAACGGAAAGGCCCUGCUUUUGUUGGUUGCUCGAUUGGCGAACGGGUGAGUAACACGUGAGUAUCCUGCCCUUGACUUUGGGAUAACUUCAGGAAACUGGGGCUAAUACCGGAUAGGAUCUCCUGCUGCAUGGUGGGGGUUGGAAAGUGUCGGCGUUUUGGGAUGGACUCGCGGCUUAUCGGCUUGUUGGUGGGGUAGUGGCUUACCAAGGCUUUGACGGAUAGCCGGCAUGAGAGGUGUACCGGCCACAUUGGGGCUGAGAUACGGACCAGAAGGCUACGGGAGGCAGCAGGGGGGAAUAUGGCACAAUGGGCGGACGCCUGAUGCAGCAACGCCGCGUGCGGGAUGACGGCCUUCGGGUUGUAAACCGCUUUCGCCUGUGACGAAGCGUGAGUGACGGUAAUGGGUAAAGAAGCACCGGCUAACUACGUG